rnacentral:rRNA from 1 species
AGAUUGAACGCUGGCGGCAGGCCUAACACAUGCAAGUCGAGCGGUAGAGAGGUGCUUGCAUCUCUUGAGAGCGGCGGACGGGUGAGUAAUGCCUAGGAAUCUGCCUAGUGGUGGGGGAUAACGUUCGGAAACGGACGCUAAUACCGCAUACGUCCUACGGGAGAAAGCGGGGGACCUUCGGGCCUCGCGCCAUUAGAUGAGCCUAGGUCGGAUUAGCUAGUUGGUGAGGUAAUGGCUCACCAAGGCGACGAUCCGUAACUGGUCUGAGAGGAUGAUCAGUCACACUGGAACUGAGACGCGGUCCAGACUCCUACGGGAGGCAGCAGUAGGGAUA